UUCAACUACUCGCUUCUCAGUUCUAGUUAACAGCACUCCUGCGGGUUUUUUUGACAGUGUGCGUGGUUUGAGGCAAGGAGAUCCUUUAUGUCCUCUUCUGUUUAUUAUAGUUAUGGAGGCUCUCGACCAGAUGGUGAAGGCUGAGGUUGGAGGAGGGUUCCUAUCUGAAUUCCAGGUGGGUAAUAGCACUAGUGACGCUAUUAUCAUCUCACAUCUCCUAUUUGCAAAUGAUAUUAACUCUUUUGUGAAGCAGACCAUAGUGAGAUUCAAACUCUAUGAGCACUGUUAUUAUGCUUUGAAGCAGUGUCGGUGCUUGAGGUGAAUCUUGGUAAGUCCGAGAUGGUUGCGGUGGGCGUGGUGCCCAAUAUCAAUAGCUUAGCGAGCCUUUUGGAUUGUAAGGUGUCUUCGUUGCCUAUGAAAUAUUUGGGUCUUCCGUUGGGAGCAACGUUUAAGGCUAGAGCUAUUUGGGAUGGGGUAGUGGAGAAGGUGAAGAAAAGGUUGGCUAGCUGGAAAAGUAUGUACUUAUCGUAAAGGGGUCGUCUCACUUUAAUAAAGAGCACCUGAAUUAAUCUCUCCACUUAUUUUUUUAUCUUUGUUUCCUUUACCGGCAAGGGUGGUGAAUAGGAUUGAGAAAUUCUUUCGGGCGUUCUUAUGGGGGGCCCUGGGGGAGGAAAAGAAAUUCCAUCUUGUUAAUUGGCAAACAAUAUGUUCCCCAAUCUUGAAUGGGGGCUUGGGAGUGUGCAACUUGAGAACAUUCAAUAAAGCUUUAUUGGGGAAAUUGUUAUGGAGAUACCACUUGGAGGGGGAGUCGUUGUGGAAGGAAAUGAUGGACUCUAGACAUGGAUGUGCUUGGGGGGGGUUAGUGCUCCAAUGGAGUGAAAGAGGGGGGGGGGGGGGGGGGGGGGUAGGGUGUGGGCUUAUGGAAAUUUAUAAAGAAGGGAUGGACAUGUUUUGAAAAACAUAUCCGUUUUGUGGCCAGAUAGGGUACUAGAAUCAGGUUUUGGCGGGAUGUGUGGUGCAGAGACUGUGCUCUUGAUAGGGCCUUUCCAGCUCUCUAUCGUAUUGCAGCUAAUAGGGAUGCUUCAGUGGCGGAUGUGCGGAUUUUUUCAGAUUGAUAUACUCCAUGGGACACCUUACGGCACAGAGAGAUAGAAUGCAGUGGAGGUCCAAUGACAAUAAGAAAUGUACAGUCAUGGUGUAUUAUAAAAUAUUGACAUCACAAGCUAACUUUCCCUUCCCUUGGAAGAAUAUUUGGAGGUCUCGUGUGCCUUCUAAAGUAGCUUUCUUUAUAUGGACUGCUGCUCUUGGGAAGAUUUUGACCACGGACAAUUUGAGGAAGAGGGCAUGCGUUGUGAUGGAUUGGUGUUAUAUUUGUAGAAGGAAUGGAGAAUCAGUGGAUCACCUCUUAUUGCACUGUGAGGUGACAAGGGUGUUGUGGGAUGAGAUCUUUAGAAGGGUUGAUGUUACUUGGGUAAUGCCAUCGAGGGUGGUGGAUUUAUUGGGCCGUUGGGAAAAGAUUCAAGGUUGUUUCCAAGUGGCGGCAGUGUGGAAGAUGAUCCAAUUGUGUAUCAUGUGGUAUAUUUGAUCGGAAAGGAAUGAGCGUUGUUUUGAAGACGAGGAGUUCACAAUGGCAGAGCUGCAGAAUUUCUUUGUACACUUAAUGCUUUGGUUUUCAGCUAUUGUACUAAAUGGGAACAAUGCGCAUUUUAAUUUACCGUUCAUAGAAUGUAUUCAGGUGUUCUUUUGUAUACCUCCUGUGUAUACGGGCUAUGCCUAUUUCAUUCAUAUUUGUAAUAUUUCUCUCUUAUAAAAAAAACAAAGGAGCUUGUCAUGAGAAGGAACAGAGUUGUUCAAAGUUUAUUAGGGAUUCUGGAUUCCCUACUAGAUAAUGCACUGUCAUAUUGCAGUUCCUAAUCAGAUCCAUUUGGCCCCAUGGAAGUGUAUUCUUCGGCUGCCGAUUUAUUGUGUUGUUCUCCGAGUUCUAUUGAUGGAUUUUCAUUGCUGGAGAUAAUUUUUUAGUCCACUUGUAUUGAGUUUGGUGGCCAUGACACACUUUCUUUCGAUAUAGUUUUCUGUAAUUCAUACAAAUUGGAGAUGCCUCGGUAAUUAAUAGUGAUUGUGCUCAUCUUUCUUGAGUUUUGAUUUUAAAUUUUGUGAUUGUGACAAUAGUUUCUUUCGCUUUCUUCCAUGUACUUGGCUUUGACAUGUCUGAGGAUAUAUAU